UACGUAGGGUCCGAGCGUUGUCCGGAUUCAUUGGGCGUAAAGAGCGUGUAGGCGGCCAGGUAGGUCGGUUGUGAAAACUGGAGGCUCAACCUUCAGAGGUCGACCGAAACCAUCUGGCUAGAGUCCGGGAGAGGAGAGUGGAAUUCCUGGUGUAGCGGUGAAAUGCGCAGAUAUCAGGAAGAACACCCGUGGCGAAAGCGGCUCUCUGGAACGGUACUGACGCUGAGACGCGAAAGCGUGGGGAGCGAACAGG
rnacentral:rRNA from 1 species